AGUGAGCGGCAACAGCUCAAAUUUGAAAGCUGGCCUUCGGGUCCGCAUUGUAAUUUGUAGAGGAUGCUUUGGGUGAAACGCCAGUCUAAGUUCCUUGGAACAGGACGUCAUAGAGGGUGAGAAUCCCGUAUGUGACUGGAAAUGUUAACCUAUGUAAAGCUCCUUCGACGAGUCGAGUUGUUUGGGAAUGCAGCUCUAAAUGGGAGGUAAAUUUCUUCUAAAGCUAAAUAUUGGCGAGAGACCGAUAGCGCACAAGUAGAGUGAUCGAAAGAUGAAAAGCACUUUGGAAAGAGAGUUAAAAAGCACGUGAAAUUGUUGAAAGGGAAGCGCUUGCAAUCAGACUUGUUUAAACUGUUCGGCCGGUCUUCUGACCGGUUUACUCAGUUUGGACAGGCCAGCAUCAGUUUCGGCGGCCGGAUAAAGGCUCUGGGAAUGUGGCCUUCACUUCGGUGAAGGUGUUAUAGCCCAGGGUGUAAUACGGCCAGCCGGGACUGAGGUCCGCGCUUCGGCUAGGAUGCUGGCGUAAUGGUUGUAAGCGACCCGUCUUG
rnacentral:rRNA from 1 species